UACGUAGGUGGCAAGCGUUGUCCGGAAUUAUUGGGCGUAAAGCGCGCGCAGGCGGUCCUUUAAGUCUGCUGUGAAAGCCCACGGCUCAACCGUGGAGGGUCAUUGGAAACUGGGGGACUUGAGUACAGAAGAGAAGAGUGGAAUUCCACGUGUAGCGGUGAAAUGCGUAGAGAUGUGGAGGAACACCAGUGGCGAAGGCGACUCUUUGGUCUGUAACUGACGCUGAGGCGCGAAAGCGUGGGGAGCAAACAGG
rnacentral:rRNA from 1 species